GUCAAGGGGGACAUUUGCAUGUUUGUAUUUUAAAACUAUCCUCAAUAAACAUCGUAAUCAGUGGGGGGGGGGGAAAGAUGGGCAAAGAAGAUAGUCCAAACAAAAAGAGAGAAACAGUAAAAGAGACACAGGGUGCAGAAGAAAAGGACGGAAAAAAGUCCUAUGGAAGACAUUAAGGAAGAGGAACAUGACCGAAUGGACACAGCUCAGCAAGCGUAGCGAGAAGAAGACAUGGUCUUGAAGGAACAGGUGUCAGAGAGAAGCUGAAGAACAAGCUGACGCUUCACUGACAGACUGCUGCCAUCGGACAAGAGAAAUACAACGUCCACAACAACAAAACGCAGCAGAACACACAACGUCCGUCGUCUUCUCUCCUUGUGCAUUGUUCUCAGUAUUGAUCUUUGUCUUCUUUUCAAUCAGAGCACAUGCUUUGUCUAAAUGGCUCCACCAGUUUCAUUCAUUUCACUGUUCUCUUCAGUUUAUAUGAAGUUUCCCUUGGAUUCUUUUCAUCGCUAAAAGAAAUAAUAAAGACAUAGUUGCUUUUAAAAAAGUAUGUCUCUCUUCACAUCUGGAGACUUUGUACUUAGCAACGAGUACCUAACACUUGUCAAUAUCAUGAAUUUGGCAUACUUGCUAUUUUAGCAACUACCUGGUUUUUGUCUUUCAUUUGUAGUGAAUUGUGGAAUGUAAUUAUAAAAUGUCACAUAAUAAAGAGGAAGUUUUGCUCCAUGCAAAAGUUAAAGAAA